GGCGGGCCUUGCCGCGCUGGUGCCGGCCCCGGUCUUCAAAACCGGUCGGGGCGCCUCGAGAGGGGUUGCCCGGUGGGUUCGAUUCCCAUGGCCCGCCGCCA
rnacentral:tRNA from 1 species